rnacentral:rRNA from 1 species
UCUCAGUUCGGACUGCAGUCUGCAACUCGACUGCACGAAGCUGGAAUCGCUAGUAAUCGCGGAUCAGCACGCCGCGGUGAAUACGUUCCCGGGCCUUGUACACACCGCCCGUCAAGUCAUGAAAGUGGGCAGCACCCGAAGACGGUGGCCUAACCCUUGUGGGGGGANCCGUCUAAGGUGGGGCUCGUGAUUGGGACUAAGUCGUAACAAGGUACC